rnacentral:rRNA from 1 species
GAGUUUGAUCAUGGCUCAGAACGAACGCUGGCGGCGUGCUUCAUACAUGCAAGUCGUGCGAGAAAGCGUCCUUCGGGGCGUUAGUAAAGCGGCGAACGGGUGCGUAACACGUGGGCAACCUGCCCAUCGGUCUGGGAUAAGCUCUCGAAAGGGGGUCUAAUACCAGAUGACACUCGGGAAGGGCAUCCUUCCCGAUUCAAAGGCGGUCACUUUCGGGUGGCCGUUGCCGGUGGAUGGGCCCGCGGUCCAUUAGCUUGUUGGUGAGGUAACGGCCCACCAAGGCUGCGAUGGAUAGCCGACCUGAGAGGGUGAUCGGCCACACUGGGACUGAGAUACGGCCCAGACUCCUACGGGAGGCAGCAGUAGGGAAUAUUGCGCAAUGGGCGAAAGCCUGACGCAGCAACGCCGCGUGGGUGACGAAGCUUUUCGGAGUGUAAAACCCUGUCAGUGGGGAAGAAACGGUCGCGUAGGCAAUGACGCGGCCCUGACGGUACCUGCAGAGGAAGUUCCGGCUAACUCCGUGCCAGCAGCCGCGGUAACACGGGGGGAACGAGCGUUGUUCGGAUUUACUGGGCGUAAAGGGUGCGUAGGCGGGCCGGUCAGUCGGGUGUGAAAGCUCACGGCUUAACCGUGAAUCUGCAUCCGAAACUGCCGGUCUUGAGUACGGG